rnacentral:rRNA from 1 species
GCCUGUUUAUCAAAAACAUAGCCUUAAGUUUUAUUUAAGGUGAAGCCUGCCCAGUGCUUGAUCGUUAACGGCCGCAGUACCUUGACUGUGCUAAGGUAGCAUAAUCAGUUGGCUUUUAAAUGGAGUCGGGAAUGAAUGGACCAAUUUAGUAAAGCUGUCUCCCACACAUUAAAUUUAACUUACUUAUUAAGUGAAAAUUCUUAAAUCAAGAAAAAAGACGAGAAGACCCUAGGAGUUUUAAUUAAAGCCUAACUAUUUAGGUUACGUUUUUGUUGGGGCGACAAAGGAGCAAAAUAAACCUCCUGUAAUGAAUUAGCCGACAGUGUAUGAAAAACUAAACUACCCUAGGGAUAACAGCGUAAUUCUUUUUUGAGUUUGCGACCUCGAUGUUGGACUAGGAAUUUGGCGGGCUAGCCGCCCGUUAUAAUUGUUCUGUUCGAACUAUUUUUCCUACGUGAUCU